AUCCGGCUGACGAGUCACAAAUAGGACGAAAUGUCCGUCGUGGAU
rnacentral:hammerhead_ribozyme from 1 species